AAAGCCAUUCUCUGAAACCUUUCUGGGGCUGGAGCACUUGUCAAGAAUAAACAGAAAAGGAAUAAAGCUUGCCUCUUUUUUUGAAAAACUCAGCUGGACAAUGGGCAUAUUCAAUGGCCAAGGCCUCCUCUAAUUACUGGCUUGGGAAGAACUGGAGAUAACUCAGCAAUGGAGAGACAAGGAGGGCUCCUAGGGAACAACUUGGAGACCGAGGAAUCUUGCUGAAUGCCAGCAGGAGAAGUUAAUAUUAUUUAAUCACAGAAAGUAAAGGCUCCAUGUAAUUUCAUUGGAGCAAUCAAUGAAAGCAUGAGAAAUGCCACGCCAGGUCAUAACAGUAAAUACCCCCAGCACCACAUUCUGGCUAGCAGAGGUAUCAAUGGAGGUCUGUGGGUAGACACUCUCAAAAGAAAUCUGGAAGCAGAGCCAGUAUAAUUCAGCGUUACUGAGCCCACUGAGCUCUCCAGGGAAGUAUAAAUCGAGCACAGAAGCUCUGAAAUGGAUUGUAACCACAACAUCAGAGGUAUUCUCAAAAGAUCCAUUCUCUUGGAAAAAAGUUUGCCAAGUGGAGCUGGAUCCACAGCUGC
rnacentral:lncRNA from 1 species